rnacentral:rRNA from 1 species
UACGAAGGGGGCUAGCGUUGUUCGGAAUCACUGGGCGUAAAGCGCACGUAGGCGGAUCUUUAAGUCAGGGGUGAAAUCCCGAGGCUCAACCUUGGAACUGCCUUUGAUACUGGGGAUCUCGAGUCCGGGAGAGGUGAGUGGAACUGCGAGUGUAGAGGUGAAAUUCGUAGAUAUUCGCAAGAACACCAGUGGCGAAGGCGGCUCACUGGCCCGGAACUGACGCUGAGGUGCGAAAGCGUGGGGAGCAAACAGG